rnacentral:lncRNA from 1 species
ACGCCCUUCCGAUCUGCCGAAUCCCGCCUAGUGGGCGCCGACAUCCACUU